rnacentral:rRNA from 1 species
UACGAAGGGGGCCAGCGUUGUUCGGAAUCACUGGGCGUAAAGCGCACGCAGGCGGAUCGAUAAGUCGGGGGUGAAAGCCCGGGGCUCAACCUCGGAAUUGCCUUCGAUACUGUCGGUCUCGAGUCCGGGAGAGGUGAGUGGAAUUCCUAGUGUAGAGGUGAAAUUCGUAGAUAUUAGGAAGAACACCAGUGGCGAAGGCGGGUCACUGGACCGGUACUGACGCUCAGGUGCGAAAGCGUGGGGAGCAAACAGG